ACGAGUGGCGGACGGGUGAGUAAUGUCUGGGAAACUGCCUGAUGGAGGGGGAUAACUACUGGAAACGGUAGCUAAUACCGCAUAACGUCGCAAGACCAAAGAGGGGGACCUUCGGGCCUCUUGCCAUCGGAUGUGCCCAGAUGGGAUUAGCUAGUAGGUGGGGUAACGGCUCACCUAGGCGACGAUCCCUAGCUGGUCUGAGAGGAUGACCAGCCACACUGGAACUGAGACACGGCCCAAACUCCUACGGGAGGCAGCAUG
rnacentral:rRNA from 1 species